UGCUGCAUAUGGCUCGGCCAGCUCGGGGAAGUGACUGCUCAAGAGCAACCGAAUUCCCCAAGACUCUGGUCAGGCGCCAGGAGGACACCUAAAGCCCUCGGAAUGGCUUCUAGGAAUAUUACCACCCGCUGUACCAAUUCACCUGACAUCGUGGCAGGAAGUUGCACUAGAGGUGGUAUCCUGAUAUGAGGGUCUCCUACAGCACCUGGCCUUGGAAGUAUGUGGAUAAUAGAAAAGAAACAAGGUUUGAGAGCUUCAUCUGGCUUUGCACCCAUGAACAAACCAUUUAAAUAUGGCUUUGCUGGUUCUUAAACUUGAGUGCGCAUCAGAACUAUCCCGAGGGGCUGUGGAAACACUGAUUGCUGGGCUCCAUCCCCAGAGUUUCUGAUGCAGGUGGUCUGGGGUGGAAACUGAGAAUUUGCAUUUCGAGCAUGUUCCCGGGUGCUGCUGCUGCUACAGGGACCAGGCUAGAAAGAAGUACUUGCUUAGACGAAGCUCUGCCUUAGCCAGUGUCACUCUGCACUUUUGUAUCAUUGUGAUACCAAGGACAGCUUCAUCGUCAAUGUUGCAGGACUCCAUCCAAGACCCAAAGGUGUACCAAUGAAGAUUUUAAGGGGGACUGUGGAAAUCAGGCUGAGGGCUGGGCAACACCAGAGGGCACCAAGUCUUGAGCAUCUGAUCCCAAGUGGUCCCAGAGGCACUUGAACCUUUCCUCACUCCUCAAGUGGGUGUGGGUUCCAUGUUUCCCUGGGUAUGUGAUAUCUCUGAGCUGACCCCCAUGGUCGGCUUUGAUCAGAGGUCCUGGAACACCCAGAGCAGCCUGGAGCUGAGCAGUUCCCCAAGCCGUCCUCUCACCAGGAGCACCAGUGCCCUCCACGACGUCUCCGUCACCAAGAAUGGAGGUCCAGCCAGCAUCAUCCCUCAGCUCGGGUGGGGGUGGAGUUGGGGAGGGCACAUCCAGGCAUUUGUCUGAUGCAAUGGGUAUUAAAAGAUGCAGGAACUUUGAGGUCAAGUCAGACAGGCAGUCCUCAUAUUAACGAUUGAAAACAAAAAAUGAAACAUUAGUUUCAUUUCAACUUCCUCAGGAAGAAGGCAGUGGAAAUCACUGAAAAGACAUAAGCUGUUUUCAGUUGGAAAAUAUCGGAUAUAUUAGGUUAGAAAUCAUAGAUAUAUUUCCAAAAGGAUUAAGUAGAAACCUUAUUUUGGUCCUCACGACAAUCAAAAUUUCCCAGUAGCCUGGAAACCAUGAAUCCUCGGAUGCUUCUAAUUCACAGUUCAAGUCUGCAGUUUUUCUAGGAAGCUUCUGGUGAGUUUCAAAAGGCAAUGGAGCCCGGCCCUGUUCCCUCAGGUGCUGCCCUCUAGUGGCCACCUGAACACCUGCAACUAAGGCUUUCUCUUGGAUUCUGCACGUCUAUUUCUUCAGAUCAAAGCAACCAGA